GAUGAACGCUGGCGGCGUGCCUAAUACAUGCAAGUCGAGCGAACAGACGAGGAGCUUGCUCCUCUGACGUUAGCGGCGGAUGGGUGAGUAACACGUGGAUAACCUACCUAUAAGACUGGGAUAACUUCGGGAAACCGUAGCUAAUACCGGAUAAUAUAUUGAACCGCAUGGUUCAAUAGUGAAAGACGGUUUUGCUGUCACUUAUAGCUGGAUCCGCGCCGCAUUAGCUAGUUGGUAAGGUAACGGCUUACCAAGGCAACGAUGCGUAGCCGACCUGAGAGGGUGAUCGGCCACACUGGAACUGAGACACGGUCCAGACUCAUACGGGAGGCAGCAGUAGGGAAUCUUCCGCAAUGGGCGAAAGCCUGACGGAGAAACGCCGAGUGAGUGAUGAUGGUAUUCGGAUCGUAAAACGCUGUUAUUAGGGAAGAAAAAAUGUGUAAGUAACUAUGCACGUCUUGACGGUACCUAAUCAGAAAGCCACGGCUAACUACGUG
rnacentral:rRNA from 1 species